UGGGGAAGUAUUGGACAAUGGGGGCGAACCCUGAUCCAGCCAUGCCGCGUGUGUGAAGAAGGCCUUCGGGUUGUAAAGCACUUUCAGAUGUGAGGAAAGGUGAGUAGUUAAUACCUGCUUACUGUGACGUUAGCAUCAGAAGAAGGACCGGCUAACUCCGUGCCAGCAGCCGCGGUAAUACGGAGGGUCCGAGCGUUAAAUCGGAAUUACUGGGCGUAAAGCGCGCGUAGGUGGUUUUGUCAGUCAGAUGUGAAAGCCCAGGGCUCAACCUUGGAACUGCACCUGAUACUGCAAGACUAGAGUACAAUAGAGGGGAGUGGAAUUUCCGGUGUAGCGGUGAAAUGCGUAGA
rnacentral:rRNA from 1 species